ensembl:lncRNA
AGAAGCUAGAGCGGGUAUAAAAUCCACAUAGUCGUUGGGCUAAUAAGGAAUUCAUGGACAAUGUAUUCCAGGAGAAGCAAACAGCAGAGGGCUUCAACUUAUGAAGAAAAAGGCGGCUCAGCAGUUCAUCAUAAGUUGAAGACGUAGCAUUUAUAAGCGAGUAAAUUGAGUCUUUGACUUACUCCCUGCAAAUGGAACUGUCUCACAAAGCGGCACCUCUUUCACGCCAAACGCGUCAUUCUUCGUGACCGAACACUUAGGUUUCCAACAGCAGAACUCGGUGCCUGCGGUGCUGACCACCCUGGCUCAUUCCCGACCGUCGCAUGCAACUGAAGCUUGUGAUGCUCAGACUCAACUUGUCAUUUCUGUUUCAAGUGGAUGAAAACUAUUUACGCAUGCGUUCCGGAGCCACGCCGUCUUAUUUACUCCUUUCUGUGGGAGUCAUGUACUCAACACUUCCAAGCGUGUGCAUACGUGAACGAGAGGCCAGCAAUGGAAGAGACGCAGGGUGGCGGUCUGGCAGGUUGUCUCUGUGUAGCUGAGGACUGAAGAAUUGAUGCUUUUGAACUGUGGUGUUGGAGAGGACUCUUGAGAGUCCCUUGGACUGCAAGGAGAUCCAACCAGUCCAUUCUAAAGGAAAUCAGUCCCGAAUAUUAUUGGAAGGACCGAUACUGAAGCUGAAACUCCAAUACUUUGGCCACGUGAUGCAAAGAGCCGACUCAUCAGAAAAGACCCUGAGGCUGGAAAAGAUUGAAGGCAGGAGGAGAAGGGGAAGACAGAGGAUGAGAUGAUUGGAUGGCAUCACCAAUUCAGUGGACAUGAGUUGCACAAUCUCUGGGAGUUGGUGAUGGACAGGGAAGCCUGG